UUUGUAGUUUACCGUUAAAAGGCACGGUCUCUGCACACUGUAGAGGGUAGUUUUUGAAAACGUUUCUUGGUGACGUCACAUUUCCCGCCCCCUCGCCAUUACUGGUCUUUUACUGUCUAUGGUUCCUAGUACGUACAAGAAGGACGGUUAGAGCUCCUCCAAGCGGCUCUAAAAAUGCGCUACAAUAGUACAGUUUAUUUGAGACACCGAUGCCAUAAACGUAGAGUUUAGAUGGAUAGGGUCAAAAACUCUUUCAAGUUGGGCAAUUCCAAGUUCAUGUACCACCAAACUAUGUGUGAAGCCUUGGCUCCUUCUCAUUUUGGCUGCGACUCCAGACUAUAAGCAGGAGCCCAAUUAACGCAGCACUGAAAUGAAAAUCAAUGCAGGAGGAAACACUGCCACUGCCAGAGGGAGACACUCCCAAGAGCGCUGCCUCAGACAGUCUGGAAAUCGCUGUUUUAACAAGGAGAAAAGUGCAGAGUCACAUUUCUCUCUUCUUCUCAACCCCCCUCGGUUCAGUAUCUGGAGCAGUUGUGUUGAACGGGAAUAAAGCUCUCUCACCUCAGAGAAAAAUACCCGCAAGAAGAGGACAAAAAUACUCUGCACCAAAUAAUGAAAGUAAUAUAGACAGACAAGGCUGAGUGAUUCUGACUGAGAAAGCUUCUUCAAAUCUAGGUGCCCUUAGUGAUGUUAUGGGUGUUUAUUUGGGAAUUAGGACUGAUUUAUGGUUUAAUCCACAAUGUGCACUUCUCAGGAUUUAUUUAAAUAUCAAUUUAGGGUAACUUGUGGCCCAGUGAUGAUG